rnacentral:tRNA from 1 species
ACUUAUAUAGUUUAACAAAAACAUUACAUUUUCAUUGUAAAAUUAAAAUUAGUUUUUAUAAGUU